rnacentral:rRNA from 1 species
CGGCACGGGUGAGUAACACGUGAGUGACCUGCCUUUUAGACUGGAACAACUUACCGAAAGGUGAGCUAAUGCCGGAUGAGUUAUAUAAGUGCAUGUUUAUAUAGGAAAAGUUGGGGAGACCUGACGCUGAAAGAUGGACUCGCGUCCCAUUAGCUAGUUGGUAGGGUAAUGGCCUACCAAGGCGACGAUGGGUAGCCGGCCUGAGAGGGUGGCCGGCCACACUGGGACUGAGACACGGCCCAGACUCCUACGGGAGGCAGCAG